AGGGAUUCCCUCAGUAGUGGCGAACGAAGCGGGAACAGCUCAAGUUUGAAAUCUGGCGGGGCAACCCCCAGAGUUGUAAGCUGACGAGGUUUCGACCGACGUGGCCCGGGCCCAACUUCCCUGGAACGGGAGGUCAUGGAGGGUGAGAACCCCGUAUGUGGCUCGAGCGCUGUCGUCCUGGUGUCGUCCCCUCGGAGAGUCGGGUUGUUUGGGAAUGCAGCUCAAAAUGGGUGGUAAAUUUCAUCUAAGGCUAAAUACUGGCGAGAGACCGAUAGCGAACAAGUAGAGUGAUCGAAAGAUGAAAAGUACUUUGAAAAGAGAGUGAAACAGUACGUGAAAUUGUUGAAAGGGAAGCGCUUGGUAUCAG
rnacentral:rRNA from 1 species